rnacentral:rRNA from 1 species
UACGGAGGAUGCGAGCGUUAUCCGGAUUUAUUGGGUUUAAAGGGUGCGCAGGCGGUCUGUUAAGUCAGCGGUCAAAGCCCGGGGCUCAACCCCGGCCCGCCGUUGAAACUGGCAGUCUCGAGUUGGAGAGAAGUAUGCGGAAUGCGCGGUGUAGCGGUGAAAUGCAUAGAUAUCGCGCUGAACUCCGAUUGCGAAGGCAGCAUGCCGGCUCCACACUGACGCUGAGGCACGAAAGCGUGGGUAUCGAACAGG